rnacentral:sRNA from 1 species
GCCGGGUGUGGUGGCGCAUGCCUGUAAUCCCAGCAGCUCAGGAGACUGAGGCAAGAGGAUGGUGAGUUCAAAGCCAGCCUCAGCAAAAGCAAGGUGCUAAGCAACUCAGUGAGACCUUGUCUCUA